GCCGAUUAGCCAGCUGUUUAUAUAGGAACUAAUCUUACUAAACAAGUUCUAAGGGCACUAUUAAAAACAUUGUAAUGACAUGACCAUAGCAUAUCGUUCUUUCACAUGCAAAAGUAACUUCGUUCUACAAAAAUAUGAAGAAAUUGUUGUUUGCUGAUACAUACAUACAAAGUCCUGGUAGUAUAUUUAAUACUUCUCUUAUAACUCGCAAAAGCUCCGAUAAUAUAUAAAGCCUUUGGAGGUCAGACUCAUUUUCCACAGUUGAAACCUUUGCAAACAGAUAGGACUAUGAUGAGGAUUAACGCAAUCAGUAUACCCAAAACAAUCAGCUUGAUCUUCAUAUUCUGCAGCCACAUUUUCCUACGAAUCUUUGUCCCUGUGCUUCGAAAGUCUUGUGCCUGUUGAUGAAGGUUCUGAGUCUUAUCCACCAGAAGUUCAAUUUUCUCCCCUCUAUCUAAAACCUACAUUACAGAAAAUCAGCAUCUGUUAGGUUUUAUGCUCAGGACUGUCCUCCAUAGAAGGAAUAAUUACUGAACUUAUAUGUAAAGCCAGUCAAUGGUAAGCCAAACACAAGCUAAAGAAUAUUGCAAGUAAAUUUUAAUCAUGGCCAGGUAAGGCAAAUGUUGGCAGCAAAAGAAAGCAAGUUGAGUAAACCUCGAAGUAUUUACUAACCUCUUUGGCAAUACUGUUACCUAUAGUUGUAGCUAUUAGCAACAGUGCUACAUUAAACAUAGCUAUUUAGAAAUACAAUUAACUGUUUGCUAAAGUAUUUACUAAAAAGUGAUGUUCGGACCUUGUUUGGUUUGCUUAAUGGAGUUUGCUCAAAGUUGCAAGGAUAUUUUUGCCCAUUAAAAAUUAUAUUUCUGCUCAGUGCUUUAGCUAAAAAUGUCGUGGUUGAACAAAGCUAGAAUUUUGAGCUUCUUCAAAAAUAAGAUUUUGGCUCAUGAAAAGCACGUUGGACAAAGCAGUUGCGAGCCAAAAAGGAAAAUUUUGAAAUCUGCUACAUAGUGCAGCAAUAGCUGCACCAAACAGGGCUAAGAAUAUGUGCAAAACCUAUAAAUAUCAUGUGUCAAGGGAAAUGUUACCCAUGAAAAAACAUAUCAUGAAGCAUGUCAAGCCCAGAUUUUUGGACAAUUAAAUUUCAAGGCGAUAAUGAUACAAAUAAAAAGAUAACAGGCCCCUUUUAGAAGUAACUUACAGACCAUGCUGCUUAGAUAUAAGCAUCAAUGAGAUACAUAAAGCUACAACAAUGAGCAGGAACAAUUGAGAAGUCCAACAACUACGUGCACGAGAGCACAAGUAUAAAAUACAGGUAUACCAACACCAUUAAAUUUGUUCAGCAAAUAAAGCUACUUACAACCUAAGCAAUUUGUGGACAGUUAUACUGACAUAUGAAAGAACUAUUUCUCCCUGACGUUACAAAAAGCAUCUAAGCAAUGAAUACCUAUUAUAUAUGAACCGAUUAGAUUCGAGGAUUGAAAACAAAAAUCAGUGUGCACCAAUAGUAAAAAAAGCUGAACAGAGCACAUAAAAAUGCAUCAUAAUAUAAAGGUUAAACCAGAAGCUAAGUGAAGCAAU
rnacentral:misc_RNA from 1 species